rnacentral:rRNA from 1 species
AGCAGCCGCGGUAAUUCCAGCUCCAAUAGCGUAUAUUAAAGUUGUUGCAGUUAAAAAGCUCGUAGUUGAAUUUCGGGACCAAUUUGUUGGUCGUGCCUCGGUACGUACUGGUAUUAUUGGUUUCUCCCUUCUGAAGAACCUUGAUGUCAUUAAUUUGGUGUCUUGGGGAAUCAGGACUGUUACUUUGAAAAAAUUAGAGUGUUUAAAGCAGGCAUACGCUUGAAUACAUUAGCAUGGAAUAAUGAAAUAGGACGUUUGAUUCUAUUUUGUUGGUUUCUAGGAUCGACGUAAUGAUUAAUAGGGAUAGUUGGGGGCAUUAGUAUUCAAUUGUCAGAGGUGAAAUUCUUGGAUUUAUUGAAGACUAACUACUGCGAAAGCAUUUGCCAAGGAUGUUUUCAUUAAUCAAGAACGAAAGUUAGGGGAUCGAAGACGAUCAGAUACCGUCGUAGUCUUAACCAUAAACUAUGCCGACUAGGGAUCGGAUGAUGUUAAUUUUUUAAUGACUCA